rnacentral:misc_RNA from 1 species
AUCAAGAUUCCAUAUUUCACUCCCCUGCACAUUUAACCAUUCUCUUUCCUCUCUUUUGAAGCGCAUUAAGCUCCCAAGAACUUUGGCUGCCAAAGGAAGUCCUUUGCACUUAUCUACAAUCUGUUUUCCGAUAGGUAACAGAUAUGGGAAAAGAUUUUCUUCUCCAUCCGGAAAGGCUCGCUUCUUGAACAAAGUCCCACAAUCAUCGUUAGUCAGGGCUUCCAAUUGGCAGUGACGAGUAUUGCUCAUUAUGGAUGCUACUUUCUGCCUACGAGUGGUGACAAUAACUUUGCUUCCAUCUGUAGCUCCUGCUAACAUGUUCCUUACUUUAUCCCAUUCAUCUUGAUCAUCAUUCCAUACGUCAUCCAACGCAAGUAAGAAUAUUUUUCCACACAAUGCUUCUCUUAACUGAGAUCGAAGCAAACCCAAUUGUAUUGUUG